GGCGCUAUAGCCAAGUGGUUACGGCGACAGAUUAGAAUGAACCGUGUGCCAACAAUGUUCAUCUGUUCCUCUUUGAGGGCGCAGGUUCAAAUCCUGCUGGCGUCG